GAUGAAGAACGCAGCGAAAUGCGAUAAGUAAUGUGAAUUGCAGAAUUCAGUGAAUCAUCGAAUCUUUGAACGCACAUUGUGCCCGCCAGUAUUCUGGCGGGCAUGCCUGUUCGAGCGUCAUUUCAACCCUCAAGCCCCCGGGCUUGGUGUUGGGGAUCGGCGUGCCCUCGCGGCGCGCCGUCCCCUAAAUCUAGUGGCGGUCUCGCUGUAGCUUCCUCUGCGUAGUAGCAACACUCGCACUGGAUCGCAGCGCGGCCACGCCGUUAAACCCCCCACUGCUGAAAGUUUGACCUCGGAUCAGGUAGGAAUACCCGCUGAACUUAAGCAUAUCAAUAAGCGGAGGA
rnacentral:misc_RNA from 1 species